rnacentral:rRNA from 1 species
UGGGGAAUUUUGGACAAUGGGCGCAAGCCUGAUCCAGCCAUGCCGCGUGCGGGAAGAAGGCCUUCGGGUUGUAAACCGCUCUUGUCAGGGAAGAAAUCCUUUGAGCUAAUACCUCGGGGGGAUGACGGUACCUGAAGAAUAAGCACCGGCUAACUACGCGCCAGCAGCCGCGGUAAUACGUAGGGUGCAAGCGUUAAUCGGAAUUACUGGGCGUAAAGCGUGCGCAGGCGGUUAUGCAAGACAGAGGUGAAAUCCCCGGGCUCAACCUGGGAACUGCCUUUGUGACUGCAUAACUAGAGUACGGCAGAGGGAGGUGGAAUUCCGCGUGUAGCAGUGAAAUGCGUAGAUAUGCGGAGGAACACCGAUGGCGAAGGCAAUCCCCUGGGCCUGAACUGACGCUCAUGCACGAAGGCGUGGGGAGCAAACA